UUGGCGUGCUUAACACAUGCAAGUCGAACGGAAAGGCCCUGCUUUUGUGGGGUGCUCGAGUGGCGAACGGGUGAGUAACACGUGAGUAACCUGCCCUUGACUUUGGGAUAACUUCAGGAAACUGGGGCUAAUACCGGAUAGGAGCUCCUGCUGCAUGGUGGGGGUUGGAAAGUUUCGGCGGUUGGGGAUGGACUCGCGGCUUAUCAGCUUGUUGGUGGGGUAGUGGCUUACCAAGGCUUUGACGGGUAGCCGGCCUGAGAGGGUGACCGGCCACAUUGGGACUGAGAUACGGCCCAGACUCCUACGGGAGGCAGCAGUGGGGAAUAUUGCACAAUGGGCGGAAGCCUGAUGCAGCAACGCCGCGUGCGGGAUGACGGCCUUCGGGUUGUAAACCGCUUUCGCCUGUGACGAAGCGUGAGUGACGGUAAUGGGUAAAGAAGCACCGGCUAACUACGUGCCAGCAGCCGCGGUGAUACGUAGGGUGCGAGCGUUGUCCGGAUUUAUUGGGCGUAAAGGGCUCGUAGGUGGUUGAUCGCGUCGGAAGUGUAAUCUUGGGGCUUAACCCUGAGCGUGCUUUCGAUACGGGUUGACUUGAGGAAGGUAGGGGAGAAUGGAAUUCCUGGUGGAGCGGUGGAAUGCGCAGAUAUCAGGAGGAACACCAGUGGCGAAGGCGGUUCUCUGGGCCUUUCCUGACGCUGAGGAGCGAAAGCGUGGGGAGCGAACAGGCUUAGAUACCCUGGUAGUCCACGCUGUAAACGGUGGGUACUAGGUGUGGGGUCCAUUCCACGGGUUCCGUGCCGUAGCUAACGCUUUAAGUACCCCGCCUGGGGAGUACGGCCGCAAGGCUAAAACUCAAAGGAAUUGACGGGGCCCCGCACAAGCGGCGGAGCAUGCGGAUUAAUUCGAUGCAACGCGUAGAACCUUACCUGGGUUUGACAUGGAUCGGGAGUGCUCAGAGAUGGGUGUGCCUCUUUUGGGGUCGGUUCACAGGUGGUGCAUGGCUGUCGUCAGCUCGUGUCGUGAGAUGUUGGGUUAAGUCCCGCAACGAGCGCAACCCUUGUUCACUGUUGCCAGCACGUUAUGGUGGGGACUCAGUGGAGACCGCCGGGGUCAACUCGGAGGAAGGUGGGGAUGACGUCAAGUCAUCAUGCCCCUUAUGUCCAGGGCUUCACGCAUGCUACAAUGGCUGGUACAGAGAGUGGCGAGCCUGUGAGGGUGAGCGAAUCUCGGAAAGCCGGUCUCAGUUCGGAUUGGGGUCUGCAACUCGACCUCAUGAAGUCGGAGUCGCUAGUAAUCGCAGAUCAGCAACGCUGCGGUGAAUACGUUCCCGGGGCUUGUACACACCGCCCGUCAAGUCAUGAAAGUUGGUAACACCCGAAGCCGGUGGCCUAACCGUUGUGGGGGAGCCGUCGAAGGUGGGACUGGUGAUUAGGAC
rnacentral:rRNA from 1 species